rnacentral:piRNA from 1 species
AGUGCCAGAAAGUCUCAUGAAGAUCAGUC